rnacentral:rRNA from 1 species
AGCGAACGCUGGCGGCAGGCCUAACACAUGCAAGUCGAACGGAUCCUUCGGGAUUAGUGGCGGACGGGUGAGUAACACGUGGGAACGUGCCCUUUGGUUCGGAACAACUCAGGGAAACUUGAGCUAAUACCGGGUGUGCCCUUCGGGGGAAAGAUUUAUCGCCAUUGGAGCGGCCCGCGUCUGAUUAGCUAGUUGGUGAGGUAAAGGCUCACCAAGGCGACGAUCAGUAGCUGGUCUGAGAGGAUGAUCAGCCACAUUGGGACUGAGACACGGCCCAAACUCCUACGGGAGGCAGCAGUGGGGAAUCUUGCGCAAUGGGCGAAAGCCUGACGCAGCCAUGCCGCGUGAAUGAUGAAGGUCUUAGGAUUGUAAAAUUCUUUCACCGGGGACGAUAAUGACGGUACCCGGAGAAGAAGCCCCGGCUAACUUCGUGCCAGCAGCCGCCGCCG